GCUCUGAACAGCGACGUGUGUGUAUGUCGAGCUGGAGAGCAUGCUAGCUGAUGGCUAACACUUAAAUUAGCGCCCUUGGAGCGGCGGAAUGAGUCCUUCUGACUGAGCUGCCUGCCAUUUAUCAUGGUCAGACUGGCCACGGAGUGAUGCGUGCUGCGGACCGAAGUCACACGUAUGGUGAAAUGUGUCGGGCUCUGUGAGGAGCGUCUGGAGAUCAAACGACAGCAGCAACACAGCUGCUGAUUAAACUGCUUCUUGAAGGUCUUGCUCAGCAGGUAAAGGGCGAACGGGUUGAGGCAGGAGUUGGUGAAGGCCAAGAUACGGGCUAUGAUGCUGCACACAAAGUGAGCCAGCGAGGUGUCCACCUGGAAGACAAGACGGAGUGCAGAGUUGGGAAAAAAUGGUUUAUAAGGUGGAGUGACAUAGAAAUCUGAGCAAGGAUGCACUGGGGAUGCCAACAAAUACAAUAUAAACACAAACAGAAUCUGAAUUAUUGCAAUUGUUUAAGCGAUUGUGGCCAAUUUUUCUUGUCAGUAUCUUACUUUGACACUAAAACAGGGGUGUCAAACUCAUCUUCAUUCAGGGACCACAUAAUGACCUAUAAAUAACCACAACUCCAAAGUUUUCCUUUGUUUUACUGCAAAAAGUAUGUUCUGAAAAUGUACAUUUUAAGGAAUUACCUUUUUACAAAAUAUCAUGAACAAACUGAGAUUUCUUCAGAAAAAUAAGUUAAAUUGCAAUAACAUUAUACCUCAGUUUAUUAUUUCCACAUUACAACUUCCAGAUCACAGAGUGUCUACAAAGGAACACAACAUUUAGUUACUGGUACCUGGAACUGAACGAUAUAGUAUUUAACUUUAUGAUCAAAACGACAAAAGUCAGACAAAAAACAAGACAAAAUAUCGCAAGAAUGAGACAUAAAAUGACAACAAAACAAAAAAGGCAAAAAACUUACAAAGUGACAAAAAAUGCAAUCAAACGAGACAAAAACCCCCAAAAUGACAAAAAAAUAGACAAAAAACAUAAGCGAGACAAAAAGGAAACACAAAAACAAGAAACAAAACAACAAAAACAUGAGAUAAAUGACAAAAAUCAGACAAAAAACAAAAACCAACAAAAACAAGACAAUAUUACAAAAACGAGAUACAAAAUGACAAAAGAACAAUGAGCAGUCUAGUAUUUUACUUUAUGAUCAAAACAACUUGUCAUGGUCUAGAAAUUAUUUCAAUUUUCUAGUUUUACAAAUUUACAGUUCGGAGUUAAUGUCUUCUCUGUAAUUUUUACAUUUCACAAAGUUGUCCUGUGGGCCGGUUGGUCCCUCUGGAGGGCCGGUUUUGACCCACAGGCCACAUGGUCGACACCCCUGCUCUGAAACAACUAUAAAUUACUCUGUUCUACUAUCUAUUUCCAAUGCAUUAAAUCAAUCAACAUGUUUUAGCCACAUUAAGUUUCCAGUUAACUGGAAACUGGAAAUGUUUUUUGUACAUUUUAUUCCUCUGAACUUCGCAUAACACAAGUGAAAACUAUACAGCAGGUGGCAGCAGAAAACAAUGAAAUACACUAAAGCCGCGAUUCCACAAGCACCUACUCGGCGCGGUGCUGCUCGGCUCGUCUUUGUUUGCGAGCGUUUCCAUAUGGAUUAGUGCACGGUAUCAGGCACGAUUUUCCCUACCUCCUCGGCUGAGGUUCCAACCGAGAUGAAGUGAGCCGAGAUGUGACGUCUACAUAGUGCAGGCCACUGAUUGGACAGGAGUGCAGCCCACUGAUUGGACAGGGAGUGACGACACACGAGCGCGACUCCAGCACGAAAACAAAACCGGCAUUUAAAAAAAACUAAACAGCGACAGUGUGCAUUGCUCUUCACAGACCUCUCUGUCUUCAUAAUUUUAAUAUUAACAGCCAGACCUGUACCGUGGGUGAAUGAAGAGGUCGAGACUUUUCUGUCUUUGGUGGUGGACCAAAGAAUACAGAGAGAGCUGGACAUAGAAAGUUUAUCAGGAGGUCUCUGAGCGGAUGGCCACCCACGUAUACAGUAGACUGUAUAUAAAGAGGACAGAAGCAGUGUAGGGAGAAGUUGAAAAAGCUCAAAAAUGACUAUUGGUUCACCAAGGACCACAGCGGCAGGCGUGGGUCAACCAGGAGGUGUUGGAAGAGGUUUAAUGGAAGCUAUUUACUUGCACCGCACCGACGAGCAACAGGAGGGAGACUCAGCUGCUGCAUUAUUGGAGACGUUCAAGAAUGAAUCCCUUUCCACAUGCGAAGCCUACUCCACCUCCGUCGCGGAGCCCCCAGCUCCCCUGCCUCCUCUCCACCACCAGCAGCGGCUCCUCUCCAGCACCAGCUUCGACACCAGUACCAGCUCGGACACCGACCCUGUCAACAUCAACGUCUUAUUACCGGUAAGACACGGUAAACAGAGACCAUGGUUGAUUUUCGCAUUAUUAUUAUUACUACAGGUGUAAAUGCCUGCAAGCAUGAUCAGAACAGUGAGACCAACGACCAAGAAUUCAGACAGGUGUAAAUGCAAACUGUGCAGCUGCCAGCUCAGGAACGCCUGAUGAAAGCUACAUGUAGCUACAGUGACACAUAAACAGAACACAUGCAGCUCCAUUUUUUUCCUAUUGACUUAACAAGCAAGUCACUCUAAUUUACUUUCUCGUGCAAUGUAGUAUUGCAACCAUUCUUCUUAUAGUCACUAGGUAACUGUAAAACUGAAUGAAAAUAUACAUAGAAAUAAGAAAACACAGCUGUUCUUAGGAACUCCAAAAUGUGCACAAGAUGAAAUAAAGUUCACACCACGCUGUUUUUAGUUGUGGUGGAGGAGAUACUAUUUGUGCUUCAGUUAAAGUAAAGAGUGCCAAAAAUAUCUUAAAGUAAAACAAUCAAAGACAUGAUCAUGAUUGAAAAUCAAUGGACGGGUGGCUAAACACAUCACAUCAUAGCUGUGGAGUCCUUCUAGCUCCUGGGGACUACAAUCUCUCAGGACCUGCAGUGGGAGACGAACAUCCACUCCAUCCUGAAAAAGGCUCAGCAGAGGAUGUAUUUCCUAUGACAGCUGAGGAGACACGGCCUGCUGCAGGAGCUGCUGAUCCAGUUCUACACUGCAGUCAUCCAGUCUGUCCUGUGCACCUCUGGAUCAGCCACACAGCAGGACAGAAACAGACUACAGCCUAUAGUACGGACUGCAGAAAACAUCAUCAGAGACUCCACUCACCCUGGACAUAAACUGUCUCCCCCCUCCCCUCUGGCAGGUACUACAGAUCCCUGUACACAGAAAUCACCAGACACAACAGUUUCUUCCCCACUGCCAUCACUGUAAUAAACAGCUGAGCCAUUCCUACACACCUGUACAAUAGUCAGUAUUCCAAUGGACAUGUACAGCAUUUUUUUUUCACCAUGAACAGCAUUCUCUGCUUUUGCACUACUGUGUUUAUAGCAAUUAUCAUUUUGCUAAUGUGUUUAUUCCAGUCUAGCUGUAAAUUUCUGUAUAUAUUGUUUUAUUUAAUUUUGCUACUAUUUCAUUUUUCUUCCUGUUCCUCUUUCUAUAGUUUCUUUAUUUUUUAUUAUUCUCUUCCAUAUUCUUAGUGUGACACCAACAGCCAAAACCAAAUUCCUUGUAUAUUGUGUACUUACUAAAGCUGAUUCUGAUCACUUUUCUGUCUUUGGUCUAGGCAAGAGGAAAAGGUGCAACAGAAAAUUGGACCUUCCAAGCGACUAAUAAACUAUUUUGUGACUUAUGUGAUUGCAUCAUAACUUUUCAUUUUGUCUGUUAAGACACUGGUAGGAAAAGAGUCAACAGUCUGAACCAAACAAUUCUGUAUUCCCUAAUAAUGCAUUUAUGUUUAAUGGGAUUUAACAUGUUUUAACACAAACUCCUUUAUGGUUCAUAAUUCCAUUGACUGAAUU